rnacentral:rRNA from 1 species
GACGAACGCUGGCGGCGUGCUUAACACAUGCAAGUCGAACGGAAAGGCCCUGCUUUUGUGGGGUGCUCGAGUGGCGAACGGGUGAUUAACACUUGAGUAACCUGCCCUUGACUUUGGGAUAACUUCAGGAAACUGGGGCUAAUACCGGAUAGGAGCUCCUGCUGCAUGGUGGGGUUUGGAAGGUUUCGGCGGUUGGGGAUGGACUCGCGGCUUAUCAGCUUGUUGGUGGGGUAGUGGCUUACCAAGGCUUUGACGGGUAGCCGGCCUGAGAGGGUGACCGGCCACAUUGGGACUGAGAUACGGCCCAGACUCCUACGGGAGGCAGCAGUGGGGAAUAUUGCACAAUGGGCGGAAGCCUGAUGCAGCAACGCCGCGUGCGGGAUGACGGCCUUCGGGUUGUAAACCGCUUUCGCCUGUGACGAAGCGUGAGUGACGGUAAUGGGUAAAGAAGCACCGGCUAACUACGUG